GUUUGAUCCUGGCUCAGGAUGAACGCUAGCGGGAGGCUUAACACAUGCAAGUCGAGCGGGAUUAGCAGCAAUGCUAUGAGAGCGGCGCACGGGUGCGUAACGCGUAUGUAUGCAACCUGUCUUAUACAGGGGAAUAGCCCAUGGAAACGUGGAUUAAAAUCCCAUAGAAUCAAGAUAUCGCAUGGUAUUAUGAUUAAAACUGAGGUGGUAUAAGAUGGGCAUGCGUCUGAUUAGGUAGUUGGUGAGGUAACGGCUCACCAAGCCGACGAUCAGUAGGGGUUCUGAGAGGAUUACCCCCCACACUGGUACUGAGACACGGACCAGACUCCUACGGGAGGCAGCAGUGAGGAAUAUUGGUCAAUGGCCGGAAGGCUGAACCAGCCAUCCCGCGUGCAGGAUGACGGCCCUAUGGGUUGUAAACUGCUUUUGUACCUGAAGAAUAGGCCCAACGAGUUGGGAUUUGCCGGUAAGGUAUGAAUAAGCAUCGGCUAACUCCGUGCCAGCAGCCGCGGUAAUACGGAGGAUGCAAGCGUUAUCCGGAUUCAUUGGGUUUAAAGGGUGCGUAGGCGGAUUGAUAAGUCAGUGGUGAAAGCCUGCAGCUUAACUGCAGAACUGCCAUUGAUACUGCCAGUCUGGAGUAUGGUUGAGGUAGCUGGAAUGUGUCAUGUAGCGGUGAAAUGCUUAGAGAUGACACAGAACACCGACGGCGAAGGCAGGUUACCAACCCAUUACUGACGCUGAGGCACGAAAGCGUGGGGAUCAAACAGGAUUAGAUACCCUGGUAGUCCACGCCGUAAACGAUGAUCACUCGCUGUUUGCGAUAUACAGCAAGCGGCUGAGCGAAAGCAUUAAGUGAUCCACCUGGGGAGUACGAUCGCAAGGUUGAAACUCAAAGGAAUUGACGGGGGCCCGCACAAGCGGAGGAACAUGUGGUUUAAUUCGAUGAUACGCGAGGAACCUUACCUGGGCUUAAAUGUAGAGCGACAGAUUGUGAAAGCAGUCCUUCUUCGGACGCUAUUUACCAGGUGCUGCAUGGUUGUCGUCAGCUCGUGCCGUGAGGUGUCGGGUUAAGUCCCAUAACGAGCGCAACCCUUAUCGUUAGUUGCCAGCGGAUCAUGCCGGGGACUCUAGCGAGACUGCCACCGUAAGGUGUGAGGAAGGUGGGGAUGACGUCAAAUCAGCACGGCCCUUAUGUCCAGGGCUACACACGUGUUACAAUGGCCGAUACAAAGGGCAGCUACCAGGUGACUGGAUGCUAAUCUCUAAAGUCGGUCUCAGUUCGGAUCGAAGUCUGCAACCCGACUUCGUGAAGCUGGAUUCGCUAGUAAUCGCAUAUCAGCCAUGAUGCGGUGAAUACGUUCCCGGGCCUUGUACACACCGCCCGUCAAACAAUGGAAGCUGGGGGUACCUGAAGUCUGUAACCGCGAGGAGCGGCCUAGGGUAAAACUAGUAACUGGUGUUAAGUCGUAACAAGGUAACC
rnacentral:rRNA from 1 species